rnacentral:lncRNA from 1 species
GAGAGAGAGAGAGAGAGAGAGAGAGAGAGAUGAACCAAAGAGACGCGUAACCGAUUGCUUCGUCCUCUCAUUUUUUUGACACAUGUCACUAAGAGGCGGGCCUUCGACUCCUCCCGCAAGAGUUGAGUCUUAGGCUUAUGUGUUUUGUUAAUUGUUUUUUAAUUGGGUUUGGGGGUAAGAGUUGGGCUUAGAGCCAGCGUUAAUGCUGCUCUUA